CUACGGGGUGCAGCAGUGAGGAAUAUUGGUCAAUGGGCGCGAGCCUGAACCAGCCAUCCCGCGUGCAGGAUGACGGCCCUAUGGGUUGUAAACUGCUUUUCUAUGCCAAGAAACCUGAUUACGUGUAAUCAGUUGCCGGUAGCAUAGGAAUAAGCAUCGGCUAACUCCGUGCCAGCAGCCGCGGUAAUACGGAGGAUGCAAGCGUUAUCCGGAUUCAUUGGGUUUAAAGGGUGCGCAGGUGGGCUUGUAAGUCAGUGGUGAAAUGCUGCCGCUUAACGGUAGAACUGCCAUUGAUACUGCGAGUCUUGAGUAUGGUUGAGGUAGGCGGAAUGUGUUGUGUAGCGGUGAAAUGCAUAGAUAUGACACAGAACGCCAAUUGCGAAGGCAGCUUACUAAGCCAUUACUGACGCUGAGGCACGAAAGCGUGGGGAGCGAACAGGAUUAGAUACCCCCGUAGUC
rnacentral:rRNA from 1 species